rnacentral:rRNA from 1 species
AGUGAACGCUGGCGGUAGGCCUAACACUGGAAAGCGGACGGGAACCCCAGUAAGAGCUUCCUUUAAGGGUGGGGGAGGGCCGGCCGGGUUGGGAUACCAUCGAAAUCAUCUUUUCCGUGGGGGUUAUGGUAGGAAACCUAAGGUUAAUACCCCAUAGAACCUCCGGGGGAAGGAAGGGAUUCUUCGAACUUUCCCGGAUGUAAUGGGCCGAUGUCGGAUUAGCAAGUUGGCGGGGUAAAGGCCCACCAAGGCGACGAUCCGUAGCUGGUCUGAGAGGAUGAUCAGCCACACUGGAACUGAGACACGGUCCAGACUCCUACGGGAGGCAGCAGUGGGGAAUAUUGGACAAUGGGCGCAAGCCUGAUCCAGCCAUACCGCGUGGGUGAAGAAGGCCUUCGGGUUGUAAAGCCCUUUUGUUGGGAAAGAAAAGCAGCAGGUUAAUACCCCGCUGUUCUGACGGUACCCAAAGAAUAAGCACCGGCUAACUUCGUG